rnacentral:rRNA from 1 species
AACGAACGCUGGCGGCAUGCCUAACACAUGCAAGUCGAACGAGACCUUCGGGUCUAGUGGCGCACGGGUGCGUAACGCGUGGGAACCUGCCCUUAGGUUCGGAAUAACUCCCCGAAAGGGGUGCUAAUACCGGAUAAUGUCUUCGGACCAAAGAUUUAUCGCCUUUGGAUGGGCCCGCGUUGGAUUAGCUAGUUGGUAGGGUAAAAGCCUACCAAGGCGACGAUCCAUAGCUGGUCUGAGAGGAUGAUCAGCCACACUGGGACUGAGACACGGCCCAGACUCCUACGGGAGGCAGCAGUGGGGAAUAUUGGACAAUGGGCGAAGGCCUGAUCCAGCAAUGCCGCGUGAGUGAUGAAGGCCUUAGGGUUGUAAAGCUCUUUUACCCGGGAUGAUAAUGACAGUACCGGGAGAAUAGGCGCCGGCUAACUCCGUG